UAAUUGAAGAGUUUGAUCAUGGCUCAGAUUGAACGCUGGCGGCAGGCCUAACACAUGCAAGUCGGGCGGUAACAGGGAGAAGCUUGCUUCUCCGCUGACGAGCGGCGGACGGGUGAGUAAUGUAUGGGGAUCUGCCUGAUGGCGGGGGAUAACUACUGGAAACGGUAGCUAAUACCGCAUAAUGUCUUCGGACCAAAGCGGGGGACCUCAGGGCCUCGCGCCAUCAGAUGAACCCAUAUGGGAUUAGCUAGUAGGU
rnacentral:rRNA from 1 species